rnacentral:lncRNA from 1 species
CUUCUGUGAGCUUGUACCAAGAAAUCCUUCCUUUCUCCCACCACACAGCAAGAAUUCGAAUAAUACUUAUGUCAUUUUAAUGCCUUCUCCAACCAAUCACGCAUUCUGCCCCUGCUCUUCCCAGCCCGCACAAAGAGGGCGUCGUACCCAGUGCUUGCGGCGGAAUAGCUGGGGAGGACUUUACUCGCCCCUUAAUUGUGCAGGUCGCCCGGCUUUAACGUGCUCAAUGCCAGCCCCUGACGUCCCUGCGGAGGCCGCGAGAACAGGAUGGUGUCGUGCACCUUCCCACAGGCGCUGUGACAACUGAACAUGAUUGUUUCCUGUUCUCACAGCAAGGCUUCCAGAAAGUGAACAGUCUCUGCCCUGGGAGCCGGAUCUCAUGAAUUAGCAGAGGUGAGAGGAGAAGGCUCUGAAUUACAUUUCAAGACUUGUGAGGAUUUGUAUUCUAUCCAUAGAAUUUAUCACAACACAUCAAAGCAACUUUGAAACAGAAUAAAUAGGCAUUUGUUUCAUUUACGUACUCAAGUAUGGCUCUAUUCUCAAAGAGUGAUCUCCCACCUUUCAUGAUUUAAAAAAUAUGUAAUUCUGAAACCAAAAUUGAAACCUAUACUUAAAGUGAUGUUGUAUCUUUGCUUGUAUUAGGAUGGUUCAUUUUUCAAGGUAUCCCUGAGACAAGACUUCAGCCUUUGUGCAGAGGGCAUGCUGCUGUUCUAUAAACUUGGCUUUGCACUUUUAGUGUCCACUCCCUCAGAGAAAAAAAUCUCUGGAACCACACACAAGAUGUUGUUUCCCUUUCCUAUUGCUUUGGUUUUGUCCUCACUCUGUUUUUUCCCGCAAAAGAAGUGAUGUCCAGCAUUUUCUUUUUCACACUUACUUGAAUUAAUAAAUAAUCACUAUCAAGUCUUAUUGCCUUGCUCAUUUCCUGACUACAAGAAAUUCCCCCAAA